rnacentral:rRNA from 1 species
GAUGAACGCUGGCGGCGUGCCUAAUACAUGCAAGUCGAGCGAACAGACGAGGAGCUUGCUCCUCUGACGUUAGCGGCGGACGGGUGAGUAACACGUGGAUAACCUACCUAUAAGACUGGGAUAACUUCGGGAAACCGGAGCUAAUACCGGAUAAUAUAUUGAACCGCAUGGUUCAAUAGUGAAAGACGGUUUUGCUGUCACUUAUAGAUGGAUCCGCGCCGCAUUAGCUAGUUGGUAAGGUAACGGCUUACCAAGGCAACGAUGCGUAGCCGACCUGAGAGGGUGAUCGGCCACACUGGAACUGAGACACGGUCCAGACUCCUACGGGAGGCAGCCGUAGGGAAUCUUCCGCCAUUGGCGAAAGCCUGACGGAGCAACGCCGCGUGAGUGAUGAAGGUCUUCGGAUCCUAAAACUCUGUUAUUAGGGAAGAAAAAAUGUGUAAGUAACUAUGCACGUCUUGACGGUACCUAAUCAGAAAGCCACGGCUAACUACGUG